rnacentral:lncRNA from 1 species
UCAAAAUGCCCACAGGAUCGGCUCUUUGGUUCCUGAACCAGGACGACGUCCACAGUUCAGUCAGCUCUACAUUGUUGAUACGGCUAAUGAGGUUCAGAAUAGACUUUCAACUGUCAAGCGCACAGGCAAAACAGGUCAACUGGAUCCAAAUGUUGUGAAACUGCUGAUAGAAACAAUGGACGCUCACAACUGCCUUACUAAGAUAUUCAGAAAAGCAAGAGACAUACAUGAAACUGACAGCUGCCAAGAUUUCAGUAUAAGACUAAUAGGCCAGUCAAAACGUAACCGUCAGUAUGAUAUGCCUCAAGCGGAUGAGAUAGCAGGCCUGAUCGUUGGUGACUUUACACAGGAUAUGGGCGAGAGAGAUGUAGUUGUCCAGCACAAGUCAUCAGGACUGCAGCAUAUAAGUGAUAUGCACCCACUCUUCAUGACUUUGCAAUAUCCAAUUCUGUUCCCGUACGGACAGAUAGGCUUCAACGAGAACAUACCCGUCACGAAUACUGAUGGAAACACAAGGAAAAGAGAAUACAUCUCAAAGAGAGAAUAUUUUGCAUACCAGCUGCAAACUCGCUUGGCAGAAGGCAUGGUUAUUGUGAGAUCCAAAAGAUUACUCCACCAGUAUAUCGUUGACGCUUACACAUCCAUAGAGCAAGAGAGGUUGCGGUGGUUCAGAUUGAACCAGAAGAAGAUCAGAGCAGACCUAUACAACAAUGUACAAGAUGCUGUCAUGAAAGGGGAUACGGACGCAAAAUCAAUUGGAAAGCGAGUCAUAUUGCCCGCAAGUUUUACAGGUAGCCCACGUUAUAUGGCUGAAAAGUAUCAUGAUGCGAUGGCAAUAUGUCGGUGGUAUGGGAAUCCAGACCUAUUCAUCACCAUUACAACCAAUCCUAAAUGGGAUGAGAUAUCUGACCACCUUAAAAUGUAUGGCUCUGACGACCCCAAUGAUCGCCCAGACUUAGAAGCUAGGGUGUUCAAGAUGAAGCUUGAUGAGUUGAUUUCAGAUUUCAACAAAGGCAUCUUCUUUCCCCGUCCCAAAGCAGGUAUUAUUCUGCAAAAACAUUUUUAAAUUAUUACACCCAAUCAAUUCAGUUACCAUAUAAUUUCACUAUACAAUCUAACCAUAUCUGAACAAACAUAUCUGACCUGUUAUUUUUUAAAAUUCAGUUGUCUACACAAUUGAGUUUCAGAAGAGAGG